rnacentral:lncRNA from 1 species
UGAGAGUGUUCUGAAAGAGAGAGAAUUUACCAUAAAUGAGAAAAAAGAAAAAGAAAAAUGAAAGAUGAAUAUAAAGGUUAAGUACAAUCAUACAACACAUUUCAAAUUCAAGCCUUUAUACUGAAAAAAGAAUUGUCUUUCCUCUAAUAAUAAACAAGGGUCCUAUUUUGAGUGUCUGGUCAUCAUAACAGUGUCUGGGGGCUAAAUGCAAUGAGCUCAACUCAUUACUGCUCUGAGUACAUGUUUCCUUUUGCCUGGUGAUGUCCCCAGUCCCCAGGCUCCCUGUCCAGCACAGCCUGGCCUGUAGAUUUACUGAGAUCAGACAAGCAAUGCAGCAGCAAAUACUGAAAAGAAAUAGCUUGGAAAAACAGCUUUGGAAAAUCCCUCCCCUCCAAAUCUAGCUCUGGGCUGGGGUCAGCUGCCCUCCUUGCCCUGAAGCUUGUCACCUCAGUCAGACACCUUUGUUACCACACAAAGCCCUGCAAUGCAGCAGCAAGGCAUCCUCGUGCCAUACUGACAGCAUUACAACAGGCAGCAGAGAUCCACCACCACACCCUACAUCUCCUGCCAGGGUACAUGCAGCGGCAGUGAAAAUUUGCAGGAUUUCAACAGCGUAACAGGAAAUUUCACCCAUUCAUUUCACUGGCAAUGCUGCAAGAUACUUCACAACCAGCACCUUUUGUGCUCAAGUACCGCUAACAACAGAGGCAAAUGCACUUUCCAUCUGCUUAUCAUUAUGGUGAAGAAAAGAGGAGCUAAAUUAGAGGCAACAAGUGCAAUAGUAAGCAGCAAAACAACAGGAGAGGUGUAGUGAACAGUCAGUCAUUUUCAGAUCAGCCAUAGAAGAGUAGGAGUACAACUGUGCAUGAAAGAUUUCAGUUGGAAGAAGCUUUGGAUACAAUCUUCCAGAAGGAACCAACACCUUGUAAGGAUAAAAUUAGAGAUGAGAUGUUAAUUUCUGAAAUCCAAAUCUGUUGCUAAAAUGUGAAUAAACAAAAUGAUCUGCCAAUUUUAUGACCCA